rnacentral:tRNA from 1 species
GGUCGGAAGUUCAAGUCUUCCCAGGCCCACCACACUCAUCGAGUGAGCAUUCGUCUUCUGGUUACGGGGCCAUAGCUCAGCUGGGAGAGCGCGUGCUUUGCAAGCAUGAGGUCGUCGGUUCGAUCCCGUCUGGCUCCACCAGAUGGUUUGAUCACCGACUACUCAUACCGUCGUCCGCGAAACAUCACUUCGCACUUACUAGUCCGGAUGGACAGUAAGCUGCGUGAUUUCUGACAUCGUAAAGAGGAGAUCGAUCCGAGUUGGAUCGGGCAACAAGUAAUUGUUGCGCGAUACUUCAUUAUCUCCGGAUCAUUUCGGCGCUCGUGCGUCUUCCAGGGUAGCUCACAAGGCUGCGUCUGAAGGACACGCGAGUUGUAAAUGAUCCUUUUAGCGAAGCUUGACCGCCUCGCUAUCGGAACGAUCUUACGAAGCAAGCUGGUCUUUCUAAUCAUUGUCCGGCUGCAGAUAGCGUUCAUCGAGGGCGCGUGCCUUAGAGACUUAGGUUUCUUGGCAAUUCUGCAGACAACAUUCUGCCGAGUGUGUGGACAUUGAUAAUGAGAGC